CCCUAGCCCUGAUGGUAGGGAAAAUCCUUUUGUGCCGGGGUUCGGCAUAAAAGAUUGGAAGGAACAGCAGGAAAUAGC
rnacentral:sRNA from 2 species